rnacentral:rRNA from 1 species
UCAGAUUGAACGCUGGCGGCAGGCCUAACACAUGCAAGUCGAACGGAAACAUGUCUAGCUUGCUAGAUGAUGUCGAGUGGCGGACGGGUGAGUAAUGCUUGGGAACUUGCCUUUGCGAGGGGGAUAACAGUUGGAAACGACCGCUAAUACCGCAUAAUGUCUACGGACCAAACAGGGCUUCGGCUCUGGCGCAAAGAGAGGCCCAAGUGAGAUUAGCUAGUUGGUGAGGUAAAGGCUCACCAAGGCAACGAUCUCUAGCUGUUCUGAGAGGAAGAUCAGCCACACUGGGACUGAGACACGGCCCAGACUCCUACGGGAGGCAGCAGUGGGGAAUAUUGCACAAUGGGGGAAACCCUGAUGCAGCCAUGCCGCGUGUGUUAAGAAGGCCUUCGGGUUGUAAAGCACUUUCAGUUGUGAGGAAAAGUUAGUAGUUAAUACCUGCUAGCCGUGACGUUWACAACAGAAGAAGCACCGGCUAACUCCGUUGCCAGCAGCCGCCGGUAAUACGGAG